AAUGAACGCUGGCGGCAUGCCUAACACAUGCAAGUCGAACGAAACCUCCGGGACUAGUGGCGCACGGGUGCGUCACGCGUCGGAAGCGUCACUUAUGUACGGAAUACCUCUCCGACAGGGGUGCUAAUGCCGGAUAAUGUCUUCUGACCAAAGAUUUAUCGCCUUGGGAUGGGCCCGCGUUGGAUUAGCUAGUUGGUAGGGUAAAAGCCUACCAAGGGGCCGAUCCCUAGCUGGGCUGAGAGAAUGAGCAGCCACACUAAGACUGGGCCGCGGCCCAGACUCUUACGGGAGGCAGCAGUGCGGAAUAUUGGACCAUGGGCGGAGUGCUGAUCCAGCACUGCCGCGUGAGUGAUGAAGGCCUUAGAGUUGUAAAGCUCUUUUACCCGGGAUGAUAAUGACAGUACCGGGAGAAUAAGCUCCGGCUAACUCCGUG
rnacentral:rRNA from 1 species